CCUACGGGAGGCAGCAGUGGGGAAUAUUGCACAAUGGGGGAAACCCUGAUGCAGCGACGCCGCGUGAGUGAAGAAGUCAUUCGUUAUGUAAAGCUCUAUCAGCAGGGAAGAAAAUGACGGUACCUGAGUAAUAAGCCCCGGCUAACUACGUGCCAGCAGCCGCGGUAAUACGUAGGGGGCAAGCGUUAUCCGGAUUUACUGGGUGUAAAGGGAGCGUAGACGGCAGUGCAAGUCUGGAGUGAAAGGCGGGGGCUCAACCCCCGGACUGCUCUGGAUACUGUACGGCUAGAGUGCAGGAGAGGGGAGUGGAAUUCCUAGUGUAGCGGUGAAAUGCGUAGAGAUGAGGAGGAACACCAGUGGCGAAGGCGGCUUCCUGGAC
rnacentral:rRNA from 1 species